UAAAUUGAGAGUUUGAUCCUGGCUCAGGAUGAACGCUGGCGGCGUGCUUAACACAUGCAAGUCGAGCGAUGAAGUUUCCUUCGGGAAACGGAUUAGCGGCGGACGGGUGAGUAACACGUGGGUAACCUGCCUCAUAGAGUGGAAUAGCCUUCCGAAAGGAAGAUUAAUACCGCAUAAUGUUGAAAGAUGGCAUCAUCAUUUAACCAAAGGAGCAAUCCGCUAUGAGAUGGACCCGCGGCGCAUUAGCUAGUUGGUGGGGUAACGGCCUACCAAGGCGACGAUGCGUAGCCGACCUGAGAGGGUGAUCGGCCACAUUGGGACUGAGACA
rnacentral:rRNA from 1 species